AUGUCGGGGAUAGAUUUUGCUAUUACACAAAAGGCUGAAACUUGCUCAGCCUUUGUCUUCUUUGAGUUCAACCUCUUAGGAAGAUGCACUUUCAAGCUAUUCUCCAUUCCUUUUCUGUACCUGAGUAUGACUUUUGUUUCAACCCUCUAUGGCAUGAGAAUUUUAAUUAUUUCCUUGGCCUUCGAUCUGACCCAGGUUCAAGUCAAUUUCUUCUUGCUGGAUCUUUCCGGAUUCCCGGCUAUAAGGCUAUCUGUGGGAGUAAUGCAGAAAUAGGUUGUAAUCUAUUAACUGAAUGAUUGCUCAUAUAUCCUUUGUGAGUCAUGAGAGUGCUGAGAGCUUUUCAGAAUAGUCUGGAGAUAAUACCCUGGCCUUGUCCACGUUCAUUUUUGAAACAAAGCAUAUGUGGAAUAAUUAGUUGUUGGUUCCUUAUUUUUGGAAGACAUGAGUAAUUUUUUUUUCAUGAAAGAAUGUACAAAGAAGAUACAUUUCCCUACAGCAGGAGGAGUGCCCUGCAGGGACAAGGGUUUAUGAGAAUGGAGUGGAAGGAGACUGGGCAGGACUCAAAUGACAAAGAGACAUUCUCUAAGGGGAAGUGAUCUCAGGACAGAAUUAAAGGCAGGUGGGUAUGAGGAACUGGAAAACAACUCUUAAUUCAACAGACCCAACUAGGGAAGACUCCCAGAGACUCUGCACUGUCAAGGGAUCUUGACAUGAGAGCCACAGGGAUGUGUUCCACUCCUUCCUCCUGCUAAGUAACUCCCUCUGAGGGCCCAGAGACCUGGCUCUCAGGUAAGGCACCCCACUCACCAGGCGUAUGUCAAUAUGUAAAUCAUUCACCCUCUAAUACCUCCUUUUUCUCAUCAGUGAAACCUAAAUAUCUACCACCAGCUUCACAAAAUUCUGUGCCUGGCAUAUAGCAGUCGCUCAGUAAAUAUAACUUCUCUUUAUCCAUUGUGGAUUCCUUUUGUCUAAGUAGUAUUUGUGAAUCAGCUUAGCAUUCAAAGUCUUCCACUUUUGAACCCCUCAUCUUAUUGAACUAAUGUAAACUACUAACACCUCUGAAUGUUAGACUGACUUUAAUAAUAGAAAUAACUGACAUUUUUCUAGUAAGUUAUUCCUUAUACAGGCUUCUAGAUUCUUCUACCGUAUGCAGCCUGUGAUGCAGCUAGGCUAGGCUUAAUAUGAUCCCUAAUAGACAAAGGCAGAAAUGGAAGCUGAACUGUUAACUGCCAGAUAAGGUCACGAUGAGUGAUGGACCCAGCAAAGCCUCAACCAACAUCCUCUGGUGCUCUGGCCUAAGCUGGUCCCUGAGGCAGGUCAUGAAAUGUCAGAGUCAUGUGGUUUUUCCUUCCCAAAUGUUCUUGCUUUUUGUUUGUGAAAACUGAUUCAUUUUCAGGUUUCAUCUUAAGAUUUUCAUAUUCCAGGAAUUCUUCUCACACUAGGGCAGUGUGUGUGUGUGUGUGUAUACUCCAAAUAUUCUAGCAUUUUUGUAGGUGACCUUUGGGAGCUCUGAAAUGCUUCCAUAACAGUUCUUCCUUUGAGAAGAAAAUGUGGGUAAUAGUGACCGUUCUUGAGCAAGGAAGAGUGCGGGGCUGUGUGCCCCUUCAUAGAAGAUGGACUUAGCAGACUGCAACAGAGGAAAGAAAGGGUUUGUGUGAUAUUUCUAGGUUGCCUGGGAGAAGUCUCUUUUUGCCUAGAAAUAUUUCUGGAAGGAUAUAAAGAAAAAGCUAUUUCCUGCAUGAGAUAAGAAUUUUUUGAUUGGGCAUCUCUAAUUAACCAGCCCCAAAUGAUACAAGAAUUGUGCGUGGAUGUCACUUGUGUGUGACCCAAUAGUAGAGUCCUCAUAAAAGUAAUAAAAGUCUUCAGAUCUUCCCCCUCCCCUGAUUGUAGUGGUUGCUGGCUUACCCCGUGGAGGCUCAGCUUUGGUAGCAGAUAUCCUCAUUUGCUAUUUUCCCCAUGGAGCAGGCAAGUUGAUCAGGUUAUGGACCACUGAGAGUGAUGUCCAGGUGUUCCUUGUCUCCAAUUUUGUAGGAAUUAAAGGGAUAUUGAAGACCUUUUGUCCUGAUAUUUCCAUAUCCUUGUGAGGAAAAGAACCAAAGUGAGGCCAGCCCUGUAGGGUAGUUUUCCUACAUCGGGAAGGUCUUAAAUCACUGUGAGUAAGCCUCUUAGAGCCACAAGACCUGCAUUCCUGGCAAAGUGCUUUAGCUCCCUGGUGCCAGAGCUGCAUCUGGUGAUAGUGAUGGUGAUACCUGGCAAGUAAAAACCUUCUGUCUAGGAGAGGUGGACAUGGGUGUGGAGUGAAGGUGUGUGAGUCUCGAUGCUGGAAAACACAAUCUGAGAGGGAGAGCCUAUGAAGCUGGGCUGGAGCAGCCCCUUGAUGUCCAGGUGGGGGAUGGUAGGGAAAGGCUCACAGGGAAGGCUUAUACAGAAAAAGAAUUAUUUCCCCAGAACACAUAGGAGAUGAGUUUUAAGGUUACACAUAUCACAAAGUCUAUAAUGGAUUAAAGUCACAACUUGGAGGACGGCAUGAGUCUUGGGAUGAUUGAGGCCACCACUCUCACUGGACAGUGAGGAAAGUUAGGCUCAAAGAGGAAGACUGGAAAGCCCAGCUCUUCUGCUCAGGCUGCUCUGUGGUUACUGAGCAGGACACUUCCUGGGUAUGAGGGUCCUGACUAGAGUCAAUGGCCAUGGUCAGCCCAGGCCUAAGGUGGUCUCCGGCUUAAGUGGAAACUGUGGGGGCCAGUAAGCUCUGCUUGGACACUCCUCUCUGGAGCUGGCCACUCUAUGAGCAGCUGUAAUUUUAGGGGCUCAGAAGGAGGGUGUGGCCUGAAGCUCUGCAGGGAGCAUCAUUUGCAGGAACAGCUCUCUCUGAUGGUGUCCACAGGAAUGUGGAGGAGGCCGAGGUAAGGCCAUUUGCAAAAGGCACCUUGAAGUUAAAAACAAUUUUGCAGAGCUUAUAGGUAAUUUAUAGGCAGACAAAGUGAGUUGGAGAAGUCACCAAAAGUAGAUUAAUGAUUCCAUUAUCAAAUGUCUUGGGUUUAGCUUUCUGGAAAUUAGUGUUCUUCUUUUUAAAAAUGACAGCUGGCCUUUUCUAUAAACAUCAGUGCCUCUGGCUUUUCCUCUGAAGUUGGAGUUAUUUGGUCCAGUGUGAGCCUGUAAGAUGUAUGGAGGGGCUCUGUGGUUCAUCACAGAACUUCCAGAAGCAAUCUUUUGUUUUUCCCAUUGGUUGUGACAUUCCAUAGUUAAGGGGUUAGUGGCCCCUCUAAUGCUCUCAGCCUUCCUAAAACCAGCAGAGGAAUUCUUCCCAGACUGGAAGGUGCCCCAGAGUGAACCAGAAUUAAGAUUCUUUUUUAGUCCCAAUUUGGGCUUCAAAAAAAAAAAAAAAAAAGGUGGAUGGCCAAGGUCAUGUGUCACCUAAAUUGGACACUCUUAAGAAUAUCUCAUUCAGCAUGAAAAAUGAUUUGGAAGUGGG
rnacentral:lncRNA from 9 species